rnacentral:rRNA from 1 species
GACGAACGCUGGCGGCGUGCUUAACACAUGCAAGUCGAACGGAAAGGCCCUGCUUUUGUGGGGUGCUCGAGUGGCGAACGGGUGAGUAACACGUGAGUAACCUGCCCUUGACUUUGGGAUAACUUCAGGAAACUGGGGCUAAUACCGGAUAGGAGCUCCUGCUGCAUGGUGGGGGUUGGAAAGUUUCGGCGGUUGGGGAUGGACUCGCGGCUUAUCAGCUUGUUGGUGGGGUAGUGGCUUACCAAGGCUUUGAGGGGUAGCCGGCCUGAGAGGGUGACCGGCCACAUAGGGAAUGGGAAAGGGCCCAGGCCCAUGCGGGGGGGAGGAGGGGGAAAUUUUGCAAAAGGGGCGGAAGCGUGGUGGAACAACGCCGGGUGGGGGAGGACGGCCUUCGGGUUGUAAACCGCUUUCGCUUGUGACGAGGGGUGGGUGAGUGUAAUGGGGAAAAAAGCCCCGGUAAACUACGU